rnacentral:rRNA from 1 species
GACGAACGCUGGCGGCGUGCUUAACACAUGCCGGUCGAACGGAAAGGCUCCAGCUUGCUGGAGUACUCGAGUGGCGAACGGGUGAGUAACACGUGGGUAAUCUGCCCUGCACUCUGGGAUAAGCCUGGGAAACUGGGUCUAAUACUGGAUAUGACCUUUCUCCUUAUGGGGUUUGGUGGAAAGUUUUUCGGUGUAGGAUGAGCCCGCGGCCUAUCAGCUUGUUGGUGGGGUGAUGGCCUACCAAGGCGACGACGGGUAGCCGGCCUGAGAGGGUGAUCGGCCACAUUGGGACUGAGAUACGGCCCAGACUCCUACGGGAGGCAGCAGUGGGGAAUAUUGCACAAUGGGCGGAAGCCUGAUGCAGCGACGCCGCGUGAGGGAUGACGGCCUUCGGGUUGUAAACCUCUUUCAGCAGGGACGAAGCGUAAGUGACGGUACCUGCAGAAGAAGCACCGGCUAACUACGUG